UGAACAUAUCCCGGUCACGCGAACGAAGAUGCGGGUAAAAGCUAGUACUCCCAUAACUGAACAUUAUCAUCUUGUUUAAGUCAUUAUAUUCGAAUGUUGCCAGGUUUUCGUGUUCUCCCGAGGCGUAUACGCUAGGAUAAAAGAGCGAGUAAAGUCAGGGGGCGUGAGUGAGCUGCCGCCCGCUGAAAUUAACAACUUUUUCUCCCCGUUUUACGCGGAACAUAUUGGAGCUAUCAAGGUCGCCAGCGGCAACAAAACAGUAGAGAACUGGGCAAUGAAGCGUUUAAAAGUCCAUUACUACAUCUUCUCGUACCCGAGCCUCCUCAAACUUCACGGAGAGCCAAAUCUGCUACGAAGCCUCGAUACUUUAUUAGAAAAUGAAGCCUUAUUACAACUAAAUUUAAAGACAUUAUCGCCUGCUUUUAAGGAUGUUAAGAAGAAGAAAUGGUUCGAAGAAGUCAUAGAUAAUUAUUUAAAACUAUGGGAGAGCAAUAUGUAGUUUGAGAAAUACAAAAUUGUAGGAUAAAUAAACUAGCGUAAUUACAGUCAAUUAAGAGUAAAAUCUUCCUAUUGCCAACAAAUCCAUAUUAAGGUAUACAAAAUUAAUUGUAUAGGUAUAAGUAAUUAUUGAUUAUUUAAAUGUUUUAUAAUUAGUUAUCUACUUAUUUUAAAUUAAUAUUUUCGAAUCUAAUUGAUUAGAAUUUCAUAUUUCGAAUUUAGAAUUAAUGUUUAACAAAAUAUGUUGCCAGCAAUAUAUGACUUCUGCAAUUUACCUAAUAUUCUAGGCACGUAAAAGUAUUAUUUGGUAAUUGCAAAUAUAAAAAAAAAACUAUGUUGAUAUAAGUAUGAAAAAGUAUACGUAUAAACUUUAGAAUUUAGUUUUAAGUACAAUUGAAAUAUUAAAAAAAAAUGUACAACUCUGCAGCUAGACUGUGAUGACUACGGUGAUGGUAUAAUGGUCAAUAUGGGUCCUUUACUAUUUGCAAAUUAAUAUACAUUUCACAAAGUAAUAUUAGAAAACAAAAUGUGAUCAUAGUUAAGUAUUAGCGAAAACAAACUACUUAUAUAUCUAGGUUUAAAUAGAUAAAUGAAUAUUUUUGUAAAUAGUAAUAAAUAAAAUAAAAAGUGCCUUAAACUAAUAUUUUUAAAUAAUAUAAUAAUAUUUUUCUAAAUUUUAAUAGUAAUGGUAGAUCAAUAAGUAUUUUACAAAUUCAGGAUAUUUUCCAUUGUUACGCCCCGUUUCCAAAAACAUUGUAAUUUAUGAUAUAUCGUUGUUACGAUUAUAGUGACAUAUACAAGCAGAAAUCAAUGCAUACAUGUAUAAAAGUUGUUAUAAACGACGUAAAUUUAUAAGUGAGUGUUUUACCACUGUAAUAUAAUUUUCCCAAAAAAAAAACCAUGUUUGAAAAGAGAAAAAAAGUUAUAAUAUUGCUUCCCAUACUAACUUGACAACUGCACGCACACUAUUAGUACGGGAGACUUAAAACUUUUUGUCUUAUAUAUUUAAUGUUUCUUUGGAAAAAAUAAUCAUGCUCAUUGGAAAAAUAAUCCCAUAGUCUGCUUUAAUAUGACUUAAUGAAAUAGUAACCAACCUUUUCUCCACAAUUGCAGUAUCCGCCUUUUCUUUUCUCCUGUAAAUUUUUCAUUAUUUUUUUACUAAUUUCCUUUACUCACUCCAAAGUACUUCUCUUUUUCUCUUCUCGCUUCUUUCCUCUACAUUUCUAUUUUGAUGUCAGAUAUUACGAAAAAUGCAUUCGCAAGAGAAGUAUACGACAGGUUAACGGCCGGUAAUAAAAGUUUAAAGCCAAAAUCUUGAAUGACAUUAAUAAAAACAUAUUACGCCGACUUCAUAUAAUUGCGAUAAGGUAAUAAAACAUUAAUCUAUUAUUUUAUUAAUUUUUUAAUUCAUUCUUUCUUUCAUAUAAGGACGAGAGGUUUAUGAUGGUAAAAUAGUAACCAAGUUUUAUUGAAAAUACCACAGAAACACUCUCUAUAUGAAAUUAGUAAUAAAUCAUAACAUUUAACCAAUUAUUCGACUUUUUUAUUUAUACUAUUAACCAUCAAGCAGACUGUCUUAUGGUCGGAAUUUCAUUAAGUCUUCUAGAAAUAGACUAAAAUAAUUACGAUUUCUGCUGUAUAUGAUAGAAACGGAGUGUUCACCCCCUCCCCCUCCCAAAUAAAUCUAUUCGGUUGCUAAUUAAUUGCUUUUUUCUAUUAAUUUAAAAUUGAAUGUCACAUUAAUACAUAUUUGAUUACCAGAAUUUUUGUAUUAGGGGCUUUUGUAUAAGAUCUAUUUUAAUUAAUAAUAAUUAUAAAUUAAUAUAUGUAUAUUUGAUCCCAUUAAUAUAUUUUUACUAGUAUUUAUUAAUAAUCUAAUAAAUUUGUUCAAUAUUUUAUGUAAUGUUCUGUAUUAAAAUCAUUUUAAAACUUAUGCUCACGCAUUUAGGAUUGCUAAACGCCCUAAACGCCUAAAAAUAUAAAUACAGACAGUAUUUAUAUUUUUAGUUAGUUAUUACUAUACUUAAACUCGUAUUUUUCAUACUGGUAACCCUUCAGGAAAAGGGCAGAUGGCAAUCCUACAUAUUUUAAUAAUAAUUAGGGUUUUUUUUUUUAAAUAAAUGUGCAAUAUUAGUCAUUGAUUUAUAUUUACAAAUACAACAAGGGAUCAAUAUCAGAAUGCAUUUACAUUGAUGUAAAUAUUUUUCGAAACAUUUAUACGAAUAAGUGAAAAUACAAAAUAAAUAUUUUACGACUGA
rnacentral:misc_RNA from 1 species